rnacentral:rRNA from 1 species
GAUGAACGCUGGCGGCGUGCCUAAUACAUGCAAGUCGAGCGAACAGACGAGGAGCUCGCUCCUCUGACGUUAGCGGCGGACGGGUGAGUAACACGUGGAUAACCUACCUAUUAGACUGGGAUAACUUCGGGAAACCGGAGCCAAUACCGGAUAAUAUAUUGAACCGCAUGGUUCAAUAGUGAAAGACGGCUUUGCCGUCACUUAUAGAUGGAUCCGCGCCGCAUUAGCUAGUUGGUAAGGUAACGGCUUACCAAGGCAACGAUGCGUAGCCGACCUGAGAGGGUGAUCGGCCACACUGGAACUGAGACACGGUCCAGACUCCUACGGGAGGCAGCAGUAGGGAAUAUUGCGCAAAGGGCGAAAGCCUGACGGAGCCACGCCGCGUGAGUGAUGAAGGCCUUCGGAUCGUAAAACUCUGUUAUUAGGGAAGAACAGAUGUGUAAGUAACUAUGCACGUCUUGACGGUACCUAAUCAGAAAGCCACGGCUAACUACGUG